AAGGUUAAAGCCCGCUGGCUUGGGUGUCUAGUUGUUAAUUAGAGUUUCGCGGGAUCGAGGCCCGCUGAUCUGCU
rnacentral:tRNA from 1 species